GUGCUCGCUUCAGUAGCACAUAUACUAAUAUUGGAACGAUACAGAGAUUAGCAUGGCCCCUGCAUAAGGAUGGCACACAAAUUCGUGAAGCGGUCCAUAUUUUU
rnacentral:snRNA from 1 species